rnacentral:rRNA from 1 species
CCAGACUCCUACGGGAGGCAGCAGUGGGGGAUAUUGCACAAUGGGGGAAACCCUGAUGCAGCGACGCCGCGUGGGUGAGGAAGCGCCUCGGCGCGUAAAGCCCUGUCAGCAGGGAAGAAAAUGACGGUACCUGAAGAAGAAGCCCCGGCUAACUACGUGCCAGCAGCCGCGGUAAUACGUAGGUGGCAAGCGUUAUCCGGAUUUAUUGGGUGUAAAGGGCGUGUAGGCGGGAACGCAAGUCAGAUGUGAAAACUCAGGGCUCAACCCUGAGCCUGCAUUUGAAACUGUGUUUCUUGAGUGCUGGAGAGGCAAUCGGAAUUCCGUGUGUAGCGGUGAAAUGCGUAGAUAUUAGGAGGAACACCAGUGGCGAAGGCGGCCUGCUGGACGACAACUGACGGUGAGGCGCGAAAGCGUGGGGAGCAAACAGGAUUAGAUACCCCGGUAAUU